GCAGUGUUAUCAACGCAUAGCAGAAUACGCCAAUACAUCGCCGUAAAAUUGAUUUCAAGUGUAGCUCGAUUUGAAAGCAUCAGCAGCGACGAAGGCUUAAGAUACUGGAAUUUGCACAUCUAAAUAUCGUAUCACAGCACAAUCUGCCACAAAUUGUUCAAUCGAACGUCGUAGAAUUAUCUUCCGAUAUUUAUUGUUAAGUAAAACGAGUUGGAGAUAACAGUUUGAAAGAUUUUUCACGAUUUAUAUAAAGUAUAUUGUUCACUGUACAUAAUUAAAUAUUGCACUGGAUUAUUGUACCAGAAAUGCAUUUUUCUGGUGUUUCUGGUCGGCAAACGAAUAUAGCUAUGUCAAGAUGUGAGUAAUUAAUACGUUCAGAAAUUAUUUACAGAAAGAAUGUGAAGAGUCUA